rnacentral:rRNA from 1 species
UGGGGAAUAUUGCACAAUGGGCGCAAGCCUGAUGCAGCCAUGCCGCGUGUAUGAAGAAGGCCUUCGGGUUGUAAAGUACUUUCAGCGGGGAGGAAGGGAGUAAAGUUAAUACCUUUGCCCAUUGACGUUACCCGCAGAAGAAGCACCGUCUAACUCCGUGCCAGCAGCCGCGGUAAUACGGAGGGUGCAAGCGUUAAUCGGAAUUACUGGGCGUAAAGCGCACGCAGGCGGUUUGUUAAGUCAGAUGUGAAAUCCCCGGGCUCAACCUGGGAACUGCCUCUGAUACUGGCAAGCUUGAGUCUCGUAGAGGGGGGUAGAAUUCCGGGUGUAGCGGUGAAAUGCGUAGAGAUGUGGAGGAAUACCGGUGGCGAAGGCGGCCCCCUGGACAAAGACUGACGCUCAGGUGCGAAAGCGUGGGGAGCAAACAGG